GAUGAACGCUAGCGGCAGGCCUAAUACAUGCAAGUCGAACGGUAGAUCGGGUAGCAAUACUUGAUUGAGAGUGACGUAAGGGUGCGUAACACGUAUGCAAUCUACCCUCAACAGGAGUAUAGCUCGGGGAAACUCGGAUUAACACUCCAUAACAUUACGAUGUGGCAUCACAUUGUGAUUAAAACUCCGGUGGUUGAGGAUGAGCAUGCGUCUGAUUAGUUAGUUGGAGGUGUAACGGACCCCCAAGACGAUGAUCAGUAGGGGAACUGAGAGGUUGAUCCCCCACACUGGCACUGAGAUACGGGCCAGACUCCUACGGGAGGCAGCAGUAGGGAAUAUUGGUCAAUGGGUGAGAGCCUGAACCAGCCAUGCCGCGUGCAGGAAGACGGCCUUCUGGGUUGUAAACUGCUUUUAUCUGGGGAUAAAAAGCCCAUGCGUGGGACAUUGAAGGUACCAGAUGAAUAAGCACCGGCUAACUACGUGCCAG
rnacentral:rRNA from 1 species